UCCUUUAUAGCCCGCCCUCUUUCCUCUGUCACUUCCGACCCGGUUGCCAUCUUGCCUGGGAAGGACCAGCUGCUGCAAUGUCCGUGUUCCCGGCGCUCCGCGCGCUGCUCCGGCCCCGCCUCGCGCCGCCCGCUCGCGCCCUGCACUCGUACCCGCCGGAGAGUCGCGUGGGGCCGCUGGUGAGGGGGGUCUGGGGCCGCCCUUCGCAGGGGCUCGGGCCUGGCCCCGCUCUGCGGCCUGGAGAGCCCGGCCGAGCCCCAGCCCUGGGGGGAGAAGCGGAGGGUGCCGGGGGGGCGCGGGCAGGGCCCAGCUGCUGUGUCCUUUCACCUGAGCUCUGCCGCCUUCUCCCCUCCGCAGGAGACUGUCCUCAGCCUGGGCGCCUUCUUCCUGGCCUUCCUGGGCCCGUCGGGCUGGAUCCUGACCCGCCUGGAGAGCUACAAGAAGCGCGACUGAGCGAGCGGGCUCUGAUCCAUGCUGGCUGCCCGCACCCGGCCCCCGCAUUCCGCCCUCGGUCCCCGGGGCUGCUGACUUAUUCCAUGGCCCCAUGUGGAGCAGCGGGGUUGCUGCCAUGCCAGUGGCAGUGAUUGGGUAUUGGCCACCAGUCACAGGUCUUGGAAGCCGCAGAGAGAAAUGACCCAGAGAGAUGCCACAUCCCACUACAGCUUCCCACUUUCCAGGAUCACGCCGCUGAAGGCCAUGGCUAGUACUGGCAGCUGGUGGGAAGAUCACAGCACCCUGGUCAGAGCUGGUGAGCCCAGGGACAGGCCAGCAUGUCUCAGGAAGCAUUUGAGGAGCCAGAAGGAGAAGCAGAGCAUUGCUGAGCGGCUGAGCCUUGGCUUCACCUUGGUGCCCAGGAAGUCUCCCCUGGGCUAUUACCUGGGCAGGCUUGUGCCCUCCAAGACCUGCUCCUUCCGCCGAAGCCUGCCUGUGGAGGCCAGCCUGGGUGUUGCCUGUCAGCCUGUGCUGUGCUCUCCCAACACCAUCGCCUCCCACAGAGCUUCUGCAGGGGCCUGGCUGGCUAGCGCUGCCCUGAAAACAGGCCGUGCCAUGGACCACACCCAGCUCAGGGGCAGCAGGAUCCUCCUGCCCCCAACCAAGCCAGCUCUCAGAGUGAGACCCAUCUCCUUGCCUAUAGCAGGGCCAUUUGAGCCAACCCGUCCUGCUGCCUGGGAGCCCAAACCCACCAGCAGGCACAAGCUUGCUGUGGUCAAACCAGCUGUCAAUGCCAGGAGGGCCCGGCUGGCAGAAUGGCAAGCUGCCAAGGGCAAGGUGCUGAAGAGACCCCCAAGCGUAAUGAUCCCAGAUCUGCCCAAGAGAUGCUUGUCCAAGAAGCCCCCUGUCCUGUCCUCCUGGACCACCAUAACAGAUGAAGAGGAGACAAGAUCAGAGCUGGACCAAGCCAGCCUGGCAGUUCCGGAGCAGCCCAGCCAAGCUGGCAGGGGUGCCCACAGGGAGGAGGCAGUAGCUCCAUGGGACCCAGCGACUCAGGGGGCCCAGGACUCAGUGGAGUACUGGGUCCAUCUGCAACUGCCUGCAGGGGCUUCUGGGAACACCUGCCUGGCUGGCAAGAAGCCUCAGCAUCUAGCAGAUGAGCAGUGUGGAUCGGUGAGGGCUGUGGACAAUGGCAAGAGACUCCUGUAUGCAUCUACGCUGCAGAUCAGUGUGUGGAAAAGAGUACGCAAGCUGUCUCACUCUGACCUACACCAGUCUUCUCUGGCUGCAGAGUGAAGCCAUUUUGUUACUGGCCUAUAUCCCUUGCUCAAUCUGUCCUGGUUGAUCUGAGAAGAGUUUGGGAAGGAGAGAAGAGAUCUCCAUUCUGUCUGCAUUUGGAAGCUCCCAGAACUGUCUCUUUAGCCUUCCAGUCAUGUACAGCCCCCUCAAAGCACUGCAUGGCAUGAAAUAUUUCCUGUACUAGCUGUCAAGGACCCUUGUAGAGAAUCCAAAGCUUUGGAACCCUAAAGACAUGUUUCAUGUCGGGGGUGGGGGGGAGAAUGAACUGGGGCAAGCCAUAACCCCCAAAAGGGCUGCAGAUCUAAAUGUCUUGUCUUUCAUGGCUGGAUCAGCACUCCAGCAUUGCUCCCUUCUACCUUUUUAUAUCUAUCGUCUGUCACCAAGCUGUUCACAAAGGCAUGUUUUAUGUAACUUGUACUGAAUUCUUCAAUAAAGUCUUUAAUAAAGAUUCUACAUUGUGG
ensembl:lncRNA